rnacentral:antisense_RNA from 16 species
AUCUAUGGCGGCUGUGCGUAGGGCACCUUCGGGUGCGCCGGUUCCUUUAGCCCGGUCUUCCACACCUGCGCACGGCUGCCACCCUC